rnacentral:rRNA from 1 species
CCUACGGGGGGCUGCAGUGGGGAAUAUUGGACAAUGGGGGCAACCCUGAUCCAGCCAUGCCGCGUGAGUGAUGAAGGCCUUCGGGUUGUAAAGCUCUUUUGGUGGGGACGAUGAUGACGGUACCCACAGAAUAAGCUCCGGCUAACUUCGUGCCAGCAGCCGCGGUAAUACGAAGGGAGCUAGCGUUGUUCGGAAUUACUGGGCGUAAAGGGCGCGUAGGCGGUCAGGCAAGUCAGGUGUGAAAGCCCUGGGCUCAACCCGGGAAUUGCGCUUGAUACUACUUGGCUUGAAUUCGGGAGAGGUUGGUGGAAUUCCCAGUGUAGAGGUGAAAUUCGUAGAGAUUGGGAAGAACACCCGUGGCGAAGGCGGCCAACUGGACCGACAUUGACGCUGAGGCGCGAAAGCGUGGGGAGCAAACAGGAUUAGAUACCCGGGUAGUC